rnacentral:rRNA from 1 species
GUUCGCCAAUUAAAGCGGUACGUGAGCUGGGUUUAGAACGUCGUGAGACAGUUCGGUCCCUAUCUGUUGUGGGCGUAGGAAAUUUGAGGGAUGCUGCUCCUAGUACGAGAGGACCGGAGUGGACGGACCUCCAGUAUACCAGUUGUCACGCCAGUGGCAUAGCUGGGUAGCUGUGUCCGGAUGGGAUAAGCGCUGAAGGCAUCUAAGCGCGAAACCCUUCCCAAGAUGAGAUUUCCCUUGUCGCUUCGGCGACGCUGAAGGCUCCUCGCAGAUGACGAGGUCGAUAGGCCACAGGUGCAAGAACGGCAACGUUUUCAGCCGAGUGGUACUAAUCAGCCGUGCGGCUUAACCAUUUU